CCUUGUAUCUUUCUGUUUACAUUCACCAAAACCCCGCGGAAAUCUCACAUGCGUAGGUGCGUUUUAAAAGUCAUGUACGUUUGUACAACAAAGUUUACAUUAAAAAUUAUAUAAUUGUCCCGAAUAAACAGCUGUCACGGAUGCAAAGAACUAUUGGAGAAACAAUUAUUUUAAUAAAAAUAUAAAUCUUUGUAAGAUCUAGUUCAAAUAU
rnacentral:lncRNA from 1 species